UCAUCUAAUAGGUCAUUUAGGUCUCCUC
rnacentral:piRNA from 1 species